CUGCUGCCUUCCGUAGGAGUCUGGUCCGUGUCUCAGUACCAGUGUGGGGGACCUUCCUCUCAGAACCCCUAUCCAUCGUGGACUUGGUGAGCCGUUACCUCACCAACUAUCUAAUGGAACGCAUGCCCAUCUAUCAGCGAUAAUUCUUUAACAAAUAUUUCCAUGUGGAACCCCUGUUUUAUGCGGUAUUAGUCCGACUUUCGCCGGGUUAUUCCCCUCUGAUAGGUAGGUUGCAUACGCGUUACUCACCCGUGCGCCGGUUCG
rnacentral:rRNA from 1 species